UUCAGGUCUGUUGAUAGGUGAUACCAGCCCAAAAGUUUAGGCUUCAUCCCUUUUUGUUAUUCGUUGUGGAGAGACGAAUUAAGAUGGGGAGCGGAAGACAAUCUCAGAUGAGUAUAGGAAUUUUAGUGCAUGAUUGAGAUCAUUUGGACCCGUGUACUGUAUGUCAUUGAAUGUUUUAAUCUUACAAUCAGUUUUACUUUGUUUUUUAUGAAGGUGCUGUUGUCAUGGACAUCAAAGUGAUUGCACAACACCAAGAUCACCCGUCAUCUCAAUUUGAGCAAUUAAACGGAGUUUUCU